GACUUGUCUGGCUUUCCACUGUCCCCUGGCCUCUCAAUCCCACAUUCUGAUAGAAAAUUCUUUUCUCUGGCUUCACCACUAACCUUGUUUCUAAAUGACUAUGCUGUCUAUUUUUCUAUUUUUAUGUGACAUCCCACCACCUCCUUCUCCCUGGACCUUGGUUUCCCCAUCUGUCCAGUAAGAUAUUUGGAAAAUAAACAUCUCUAAAGUCCUUCAAGAUCCUUGGAUAUUCUGAAUCUAUGAAACAUCCCCUUAGUGGGUUGAGUAGCCCAAAGAAACAUCCCCUUACUUUAAGUGGUUAUCAUCUAAAAGCCAUGUAAGCAGCUUCAAUAAAUGCUAUUUACUAUACGCCAAAAAGUCCACUGCCCUGCUUGUUUUUUCCCCUUUUAACCCACUCCAGGUGGUUGAACCUCCAACCCCCGUGGGCCAUAGAGAAGAUUACUGCUCCUGUGGAGAUCCAAUACACAUUACUUGAUAAAAGCCAUACACAGGAAAGUUAGUGGUGAUUAGAAUCUAUUUGCCUUCACUUCAUCUUAUUACAGAUUAUGCUUGUAUAUUAACUUCAUAAUUCUCUGAUUACCAAGGAGUUCGACUGAGGUCCUGGGUCUCUUUAGUCCUCAUUAGCCUUGUCCAGCUGAGCUCGUGCUGGACUGAACCAUCAUCACAGUAUUUCUCAGUUGGCGGCGGAAGUGACGUGAUUCAUUCUGGGAACCUUGUCUCUGUUGCAGUAAACUAUUUGCAUACCGUGUGGAUUUGCACAGACCUAGCCUGUGGGAGGUCCUGGAAGCAGUUCGCUUUCACCCCCUUUCCUCUUGCGUCUGAGAAAUGACUGUCAAUUAUUCAGUAAGUGGUCCCCUCCGAGGGUUUUACAUCACUUCCUCAUAAAACAGACUUUAAUUUAGACAUUUUGAGACACAGUGUGGCACAGUGAUGGCAUACACAUCCUUGCGACAAGGGGGCUACGUUUCAGGCUGGUGGUUGACUUCGGAAGAGUUCCCUGAACUUUCUAAGCCUCUGCUUACUUAUCUGUAAAAUGGGAAUAACAACAAUGCCCGCCCGACAGGAUUGAUAUGAGAAUAAAGUGAAAUAUAUAAAUUGUAUAGCAUUUAGGAAGCAUUCAAUAUAUGUUAGUUUUCAUUAUUGUUAAUAUUAGUUAGUAUCUCCCAGGGGAAUAAUGGAAUGGCCGAGAGGCGGCAGAGUUUAUUUUGUGAAUAAGGAAAUAAAGCUACAGGAGCAGAGGUGACUUCAUACCCUCCAUAAACCCUGAUCAAGUACUCACCACAGGCCAGUCCCUCCAUAGUCAAAAAAAAAAAAAAAUCAAUGUCCAUCACGAUUCUCUGACCCUCCAACAAUAAGUAGCAUUUAACUGUGCCUGUGGGACCAGGGAAAGGCUUCCCAGAGGAAGCGCCACUAAACUGGUCUAGGGGAAUCAAUUUCCUCCUUCAGUACCCCUCCUCGAUCUUUAAAAACAAACUUAAUGUCACCUCCUCUGUGAAGCCCUCCUUUAUUCUCUCCCCAUUGACCAAUACAUAUGUAACCACUUUCUCCUCUCUUCAAUUCCUAUGCUUUGUACUGACACACUUGCAUAGAACAUGAACCAAAAGAGUGGAGAUUUUUAUCUUCUCUGUCGGUUUUCUAUGUCAUUAGCGUACACAGCCUGGUGUCUGGAACGCGCCAAAGAUCAUUGUAAUUGCUGACCUCGACGACAUGCUUCCUGUUGAUAGGCAUUCCUCUAAGUGCUAUAUUUACCUCAACUUAACCUCCUGGCAACUCUGUGAGGAUGCUGAGACACUGAGCAGUUUAGAAAUGUGCCCAGGAUUACUCACUAUCAGGGAUUGGACCCAGGCAGUCUGGCCCCAAACCCUGGCUCCUCGCCAUGAUGUAAUAAUUCUCCAGGAGGGUUUGCUGGACUGGACAUAAUAAUGGUCAACAAGGUCUAGGCAACUUACACGUAUUACUUUAAUUUUCACAACAACAGUCUGAUGAGGGUUUGGUUCUGCCCGUCAUGUUAUGUAAAAGUGUCAACUGAGGUCCAGUAUGUGUAUGUACCUCACCCAAGGAAGUAAGGCUGGUACGUGGCUGGAGUUUAAAUCCAAGCCUGUUGCCAGAGCCUGAAAUCUUAUCCACUGUCCUCAUAUCUCCCGUAAGGCGAUACAAGAAUCCCCAGCAUGAUUUUAAUGUGGUUCAUGGUUAAAUAGUUAUGUAUUUGUUUUAAUGUGCAGCACAAAUAAUUGGACCGCGAUCUUAAACCCAUGAUUUCGUAGGUGUAAAUGUGUAGAAUGAAGCGGAAAUAACUUGUGGUUGCCAAGGCGGAGGGGGAGGGAGAGGGGUGGACUGGGAGUCUGGGCUUAAUAGAUGCAAACUAUUGCAUUUGGAGUGGAUAAGCAAUGAGAUCCUGCAGUAUAGCACAGGGAAUUAUAUCUAAUCACUUGUGAUGGAGCAUGAUGGAGGAUACUGUGAGAAAAAGAAUGUAUAUAUAUAUGUGUGUGUGUGUGUGUUACUGGGUCACUUUGCUGUACAGUAGAAAAUUGACAGAACACUGAAAACCAACUAUAAUAGAAAAAAUAAAAAUCAUUUUUAAAAAAGAGAGAGAGCCUUCAGGUUGAGAAAAUGGCAUGAGCAAAGAGAUGACGUCAAGAAAAUGUUUGUGAGUUUCACACAAGGUAGUGUCUGGAUCUGUCUGCCUGGAUCUUUAAACUUUAUUCUAUAGGAAACGAUGAGCCUUUGCAGAUUUAGAAUCAGAAGUUGACAUGACAUUGUCUAUUAAUAUUUAUCUUUUAAAGUCAUUAUGGGAGAGUUCUCAUUGUGGCUCAGCAAGUUAUGAUCCCGACUGGUAUCCAUGAGGAUUGCAGUUUGAUCAGUGGCCUCACUCAGAGGGUUAAAGAUCCAGUGUUGCUGUGAGCUCUGGUGGAGGUCACAGAUUCAGCUCGGAUCCUGAGUUGCUGUGGCUAUGGUGUAGGCCAGCAGCUGCAGCUCCAAUUCAACCACUAGCCUGGGGACUUCCAU
rnacentral:lncRNA from 1 species